CCUACGGGGGGCAGCAGGCGCGAAAACUUUACAAUGCGAGCAAUCGUGAUAAGGGAACUCCGAGUGCCUGUAAAAUCAGGCUGUCCGCCAGUGUAAAUAACUGGUGAAGAAAGGGCCGGGCAAGACCGGUGCCAGCCGCCGCGGUAAUACCGGCGGCUCGAGUGGUGGCCACUAUUACUGGGCUUAAAGCGUUCGUAGCUGGUCUGUUAAGUCUCUGGGGAAAUCUUCCGGCUCAACCGGAAGGCGUCUCAGGGAUACUGGCAGACUAGGGACCGGAAGAGGUGAGAGGUACUUCAGGGGUAGGAGUGAAAUCCUGUAAUCCUUGAGGGACCACCUGUGGCGAAGGCGUCUCACCAGGACGGCUCCGACAGUGAGGAACGAAAGCUGGGGGAGCAAACCGGAUUAGAUACCCGUGUAGUCC
rnacentral:rRNA from 1 species